rnacentral:snRNA from 1 species
AUACCUUUCUCGGCCUUUUGGCUAAGAUCAAGUGUAGUAUCUGUUCUUAUCAGUUUAAUAUCUGAUACGUGAGCCAUUGGCUCACAUGAUAUUAAAUUAGUUUUUCUCACUAUUGCACUGGGCUGGCGCACCGUCCAUUCCGAGUUGAAAGCUGACUCUUUCUUACUCUUUCUACUAUUG